AUUUAAAUAGCUUAAUUUAAAAGCAUAAUAUUGAAGAUAUUAGGAUGAGUUUAUAAUUUUUUAGAUA
rnacentral:tRNA from 1 species